rnacentral:rRNA from 1 species
GGGCCCGCACAAGCGGUGGAGCAUGUGGUUCAAUUCGACGCAACGCGAAGAACCUUACCGGGGUUUGAACUGCACGGGACAGCCUCAGAGAUGAGGUCUUCCUUCGGGACCCGUGUAGAGGUGCUGCAUGGCUGUCGUCAGCUCGUGUCGUGAGAUGUUGGGUUAAGUCCCGCAACGAGCGCAACCCUUGCCUCCUGUUGCUAACGAGUAAAGUCGAGCACUCUGGAGAGACUGCCGGUGAUAAACCGGAGGAAGGUGGGGAUGACGUCAAGUCCUCAUGGCCUCUAUGCCCCGGGCUACACACGUGCUACAAUGGCUGGUACAAAGGGUUGCAAAACCGCGAGGUGGAGCUAAUCCCAAAAAACCAGUCCCAGUUCGGAUUGCAGUCUGCAACUCGACUGCAUGAAGUUGGAAUCGCUAGUAAUCGCGGAUCAGCACGCCGCGGUGAAUACGUUCCCGGGCCUU